AGGCCAAAGUCUCCCACCACAGCUGAGCACAUGCCGCCCUCCAAGCGCACCAGACAGUUCUGCACACAGGAGGUCAGAGGUCACAAUGGUUGCCAUCUAACGCUUCACAUCCAAAAACACAGACGACUCCAAAGAUAACAAGCAGAGGCCCAGCCCUGAGCCUCGCCGACGUUUUUCUAUCAUCAUUAUGAAUUUGAAGCAAAAGCUGGGCGAAGAGCUCAGAAGAAACCCACUGAAGCCCCCUCAAAGAGUCUUCGCUUAUGAGGUCCUGGAUGUUCCAUAAAAACCGUUACACUGAAAAUGAAUGGGGCUUUUUUUGGCUCCCUUUUAAUAUGGGCUAAUAAAACGUGAUCCGGGAAACAGCAAAA